UAGGGAAUAUUGGACAAUGGGCGAAAGCCUGAUCCAGCCAUGCCGCGUGAGUGACGAAGGCCUUAGGGUUGUAAAACUCUUUCGUCGGGGACGAUAAUGACGGUACCCGAAGAAGAAGCUCCGGCUAACUUCGUGCCAGCAGCCGCGGUAAUACGAAGGGAGCUAGCGUUGUUCGGAAUCACUGGGCGUAAAGCGCGCGUAGGCGGAUAGUUAAGUCAGGGGUGAAAUCCUGGGGCUCAACCCCAGAACUGCCUUUGAUACUGGCUGUCUCGAGGUCGAGAGAGGUUGGUGGAAUUCCUAGUGUAGAGGUGAAAUUCGUAGAUAUUAGGAAGAACACCAGUGGCGAAGGCGGCCAACUGGCUCGAUACUGACGCUGAGGUGCGAAAGCGUGGGGAGCAAACAGGAUUAGAUACCCGAGUAGUCCCUGAGCGGGCUGGCAAGGCGCAU
rnacentral:rRNA from 1 species